GAUGAACGCUGGCGGCGUGCCUAAUACAUGCAAGUCGAGCGAACAGAUGAGGAGCUUGCUCCUCUGACGUUAGCGGCGGACGGGUGAGUAACACGUGGAUAACCUACCUAUAAGACUGGGAUAACUUCGGGAAACCGGAGCUAAUACCGGAUAAUAUAUUGAACCGCAUGGUUCAAUAGUGAAAGACGGUUUUGCUGUCACUUAUAGAUGGAUCCGCGCCGCAUUAGCUAGUUGGUAAGGUAACGGCUUACCAAGGCAACGAUGCGUAGCCGACCUGAGAGGGUGAUCGGCCGCACUGGAGCUGGGACACGGUCCAGACUCCUACGGGAGGCAGCAGUAGGGAAUCGUCCGCAGUAGGCGAAAGCCUGACGGAGCAACGCCGCGUGAGUGAUGAAGAUCUUCGGUUCGUAAAACUCUGUUAUUAGGGAAGAACAAAUGUGUAAGUAACUAUGCACGUCUUGACGGUACCUAAUCAGAAAGCCACGGCUAACUACGUG
rnacentral:rRNA from 1 species